UGACCAAUAACAAGAUCUGAAUGGUAAGUUUUGAAAUUUGGCACAUUGAUACUACAGGCCACAGGUAACUGGCCCACAUGAGCCCAUAGGUAGCGCUACAGGCCACGCCCAAAUUUACAUGAUUUUCACUCUGUCCCAUAAGUCCAAAUUGUCUGAAAAUUGGUAUACAUGCUUUAUUUCCCAUCAGGAACAAAAAUUCAUAAAGUCCACCAUGAUAGAUUUUCCUGUACACUUUGUCCAAAACUACAAAAAUCUUCUCCUUAUGAACUGUAGGUCCGAUUGACUGAACUGGUGUACUUGUGUGGGAUACAUGUCUUUCUAUAGGGUGAUAAGCAAUAAGGAAUCAAAUAAAAAAAUGACAAACUAUUUACAUGUUGGUGAAUUGACAUCUGCACAUAUCGUGUCCAUAAAUCAAUGGAACAUUAACCUUUUGUACUUGAUCUGUGGCACACACAAAGAGGGCACUACAGUAUCUUUGGUAGAUAAACAUAAUGUAACUAUCUUUAUCAUCCCCUAGAUGGCACUGUUUGUCUUGGAUCCAGCCAAAGCACACUUCAUUUAGAUUUGUUUGAGCAGCAGGAAUAAAUUCAAAAUGUUCAAGUAGUGUUGUAUCAGCAUGAAGUAAUUCUCCAAACCUCUCACUCCUUAUUGUUUUUGACAAUGAUCAUUUGUGGAAAACUACAAAAAUGAACUUAAAAUCUGCCAUUGAUCCAAAUGCGUUGAAAUGUUACAUAUGUGGGAUACAUUUCUCCACCAUGUCAAUUUUGAAAUGGUCUGCAAUCUUGAAGAGGAAUCCGACCAUUGCAGCUUGCAGCUACAAACACAAUUUUAAAUUUUUUUUAAUCUCAGUAGCAGUAUGGUAUUCCUACUGUGUAGAAGUACAAUAUAUCAAGUCCUCUCUUUCUUUUCUUGUCUCUUUAGCCAACUGUUGAUGUGGAAGUCACACUUAGGGAAGUUAAGGUGGGCAUCCUGACUGUGAGUGAUGAUACCAGACAUGAUGGUUUCGUCCCAGCUGAUGUCCUGAAUGUUGCUGUGAUACUGGAAGGGGAGAUGUUCCUAAUGCUCUUGCUAUACUGCUUGGACUACUCUAUGUUCUGAACAUUAACUAUCCCAAAGAACUAUGAUAUACCUUUUGAGGUACUUCAGAGAAUUUUCAUGAAAAUUGGCGAGCUGCACAGCAAGAGUUCACAAUCUAAAAAAUAAAUUAAUGCAGUGAUGUAAAAAUGGUGCAAUGCAACCUUAUUGUUCAGGUUUUUUUUCACAUGGAGCUUGGGGGGUCGAGCUUGAGUACAUAGAAUUGGAACUUUUUCACAUUUGAUAUGGUUACAUGGCUAUUUCACCCAAAAAUGAAAACUUGCUGAUUUACUCAUCUUCAGGUCAUCCAUGAAUACUUUGAUGCAGCUUUUAUCUGCUGUUUGGACUGAAAGUUCUGGCACCCAUUCAUUUGCGUUUUAUGGACCUAUGUAUGUGUUCCGAUGAAGACAAAUGCAUACAAAUCAUGGAUGACCUGGGGUAAAUUAUCAGUAAAUUUUCGUUUUUGGGUGAACUAACACUUUAAAUGGCUUCUGAUCAUAAUUACACAUAGGUUUGUGUGCUUUAGCAAUAUUUUAUUGGUCAACUUGUGUACAAGGUUUAUACUGCGUGUUUGUAGACAGUACAUGUGCUGAGCCUUUGAAGUGUGAUAAUGCUGUGUCUUUUUUUUUGUUAAUUUUAUACUUUUAUUCUCAUUUUGGAUACAAUUUUAUUUAUUUACUAAUAUUUAUGGUAUAAAUAUUAAAAAUAUAUUUAUAGUACUAAUAUUGAGUAUGUAGAUCUAAAGGAACCCAAAAACAAGAAGGUUCUGGGUGUUUCUAGUUCAAGCUUUCAGGUUGAAUACACAAGAAUACAUAAGAAUACACAAGAGUGCAUUCUGCAUUUCACACUUUAUCUGUUAAGUAGUGAGUAAAUAAAUACACAGUAAAUGUAAAAUGGGCUUCAUUUUAAACCAUGUCUGCACUGUUGUACCUUUUUCCCCCAGUGUUUACCUGGCUAUCAUUUGACACUCGUCUCUCUCACUUAGAAUCCAGCAGUUCCUGCACAUUCCCACAUUAUUUCAGUGAUUGGCUCAUUGCUUGCGAAUCAUCACUCUCAUUUGCAUAAUGCUAAGACCAUCAUCGUGCUAUGUUCAUAUCGCGCAGUCAUGAUCCUGACAACUUCCGUCCUCUUUCUUCCUCUCCAUGGUAAUUAGUGGUGUACUUCGCUUCAUUGUGCUUUUGUUGCAUUUAUUGAGAACAGCCCGUCACUUGCACACUGCUCUUAAAUAAUUUUUCCAGUUCGCACGCAGCUAUUAUUAGGCGUAAAUGCGAGUGAAAUACUCGCACUGUAGAGCCCUGACCGGCAACAGUUCAUUCCUCGUGCAUGGAAGGGAUGAGGUUCCACUGGUUGGUGCUUGGCUGAUAACGUUCAGCCGUGUUAAGCCGAUCUACGCCAUCGAAACCUCCCAUCGCGUAGGUCUAUCCAUCCAGUAUGGCUACGUUCACAAAGCAGCGGCGAGACUUCAUGGGCGCCACCUCGUUCCAGGUUCUGUUGAGAGGAUUGAACUUGCACACCGUGUUCAAGGACUCCAUGCCGUCGAAGACACUGAUUCAAUUCAAUUCAAUUUUAUUUGUAUAGCGCUUUUUACAAUAGACAUUGUCUCAAAGCAGCUUUACAGAAAUAUCAACAUGGUAUACAGGUAUUAAAGGUGCGAAUUUAUCCCAACUGAGCAAGCCACUGAGUGGUGACGGUGGCAAGGAAAAACUCCCUAAGAUGUUUUAAGAGGAAGAAACCUUGAGAGGAACCCGACUCAGAAGGGAACCCAUCCUCAUCUGGGUAACAACAGAUAGUGUGAAAAAGUUCAUUAUGGAUUUAUAUGAAGUCUGUAUGGCGUUAAGAGCAGCCGUAGUCCCAGCAGUCUGGAAUUAAAGAAGAUUUGAGCUCCAUCCAGAGGCAGAAAGGAUCUGGAUCUCUAGUAUCUCCAUAAAUUCAUGUGGGGCUCGGUGAAAGGAGAGAGGGAGAAAAAAGAUAAUUAUGACUGCAAAGUAGUAGAACAGAAUCUACCGAUGACGUACACAAAACCGUAGAGGAACACUGUGCCGUGAUAGGCUCGAGCUUUUUCUUCUCUGCUGUAGGUGCACAUCCAGCUGUCCAUCCUCGAGUUGUAGGUUUCUAAAACAUUUGUAGGAGACAGUUUGCUGAUGCCGCCGCCGGCGAACAAGAUGGAAUAUGGGAGCGGCAGGCAGAUCCGGGUAUCCGGAGUUGUCCAACCUUGUUAAUGGCCAUCAAGGCACGGGUGAUGAUGGACUGACACUCCAAGGAGCUGCUGAAAAGCAGGGGUGUCUCGAUAUUUUCCAGGAAGUAUUCCAGAUCUAUCAGAGCCAGCCGCACCUGAUCACACAGCACAGAAAGUGGAAUAGAGAAAAAAAGUGGACUGUUGUAGGAUGACAUGAUUUUCCCUUGGUUCUCUCUGUUUUAGAUCAAAACUUCUGCUGUAUCCGGUCACAAUGGCUCACAUUGUGCGUUCUGAUCUCGGCUCAUGACCAAAGAAACUUUUUUACAAUGUGCAUAAACCCGGCUUAACCAAACUCGGACCUAUCACAGAGUAAUUAGAGCAGCAGAGAGGGUUACAACAGUUACAGUUAAUUACAACAGUAUGUUGAACUGAUUAAGUUAUUUUGAAGGUCACUGUGAAAGUUGAAUAAUGAUAAAGCAAGUAGCAAAGAGCAGUCUGGUGCAUACUAUGGUGCGCACAGGUUGUUCAUAUGUUGUCCUAAUAUCAUGUUUAUGCAUGUAAAUUAUGGAGAGGGAUGCUUGUAUCGAUAUGAUGUGGGAGUAAAAGAAUGUGCACUCCCAGAAAAAGGGAGGUUUUGUCUUAGGCAGUUAGAACAGUUAAAACUCAAUUCGGAAGCAAAAGAGAGAGAGAUUCCUAAAAGUAAAAAAAAAAGAAGCACAGUUUUUAGUAGACUGGAAGGCAUUUGGUAAAUGUCAGUGUGAGGUACAUAAAAGAGAGAAAAAUGUCAGGCAGGGCCCUCAUCUGUUUCUCAGUGUGCUAAGUUACAGAAAGCUGAUCCUGACCUGGACUCCGCCCCUCCACGGCAAACACAAGUAGCAGCAGAAGUGGGUCCCUCAGCACCAUCAUCAGAUCCACAUUUCUGUCCAGCCCUCACUGCGCUGGAAGCCCUACCUGAUUCCUCUGAAAAUGCAAAGCAGGACUUCUCACCACUUAGGACUCAGAAGCACAUGCCCACACCUCCCUAAAGGCACAGGGACCUGUACAUGAGAUAAUAACAGUCCCUAUGGUGGACAUGGCAGGGCCUGAUGAGGUAGUGCUCGUCCACCGGCCCUGGGCAAUGGCUGACUGAACCCAGGAUGGCAAUGUAGCCUACACAGGAGCGAUUUCAGCUCUCCAACAACGACUAAUUUAAGCCGAAUGGACAUGGAAAAAAAAAUAAAAAAAUAGCAAUGUGCAAGUAGCAAGAUUCAGAGGGGAAGAUCCAGAAGAGGGGACAUCAGACACCCAAACUUCACGGUGUACCUGUCUUGAGGCACAGAAGCUCCAGUACAAGUUUCGUUCUCUACACUACAGCCAGACUAAAGGUUAGUCACUCCGUUAAAGGACAGGGAUGUUCCAGGGGGACAUAAGAAAAUAAGAGAAAAAAAAACCCUAUCACCCAAGGUGCGCCGGGGCAGAGAUUUAGAUGCAAACCCCCGGUAUAGCCUAGGCUAUAGGCCUGCUGGGUGAUAGGUGGGACUGGGUGAUAGGUGGGAAACACGAACGUGGGACUAUGUCCCAUGUCCCAGGUCGCGAGUCAUAGCAGGGUCUGAACCCUGCUAUAACAGAGAAGGGUGGGCCCCCCUGGGAUAACUAGAAACCUGUGACUUAUGUUCUAAGUCCCACAGCGCUAGUUAUACCAUGGGCUGUGUAUUUCAUUUUUAUUCCGUGGGCUGUUGUGUUGUACAUGGGAGUGGUUUAUUUAUUUAUUCUUUUAUUUAUUAAUUUAUUGUCUGUUUCUUCCUGGUGAAGCAGCACAAAUCUGAUUUCGGUCACACUAAGCUGGCUUUCAACAAAAGUGAGCUGAAGUGCCUGAAAUGCUUCUAACACUGCAGGAAGCACAUGCCAGGCUAUGGGGCUUCUGUCAGGUGGUUCUUCUUCUUGAGCACAGGCUCACAGACCAAGAUGUCUUUGCAUGUCAAGAAUGCCUUGUGGACACUCGUGGGGAAGGACAACAACGUCUCUGACAUCAGGACAGCUCUAGCAACCUACGCAAGCUAACAUAUAGUGAGAGGAAUCUCAACAGCGCGCUCUCAUCACGAAAAUAAUGUGCCACAGCAAGGGGACAUCAGACCGCUUCUACGUCGCGGAGCUGUCGGUCGGUGAGGUGCACUCUGCCCAGUCCCCGCUUGAGGACGCUUUGGGCAUCAGUGUCACGUCUAUUGAACAACCCGGUGGCCCGGGAGGCAAGGAAAGGCCAAUAGUUUUUGGUUAAUAUCCUGGUAUUUGUGUAAAAAGUGUAUAAUUAACCCUCUUACCCCUAAGUUCCCACAGUAUUAUGUCCCAUAACCCUAUAUUCCCCAGAGAAACAGCACGCCAACCCUGAGUUCCUGGGCCAAAAUCAACAUUUUAAUUUUAACAUUUUUAGGCCUUGAAACAACUUAUAAUGUAUUUGUGUAAUAUUACUUUGAAAAUGAAGCAGUUCAGUGUUUUUACUAAACUUAGAGCACAAUUCUUAACUAGAGAAAUUACGAAAAAAAUGCUCUCUAAAAUCCUUCUACUCAUUUAGAAGUACCAUACGAGCAUCAGCGUGGUCAAUGCCUUUAUAAAUACUAAAUAAAUAAAUGCAUUUUAGUGCCAAAAGUCAAGUUUCUGGUGAUAAUCAGACCAGCAGGUAGUGUUUUCCCGAAUGCACAGAAAUGGUCCCGUUACGACUCCAGACCCCUGCAGUGUCAGUCGCACUGGUUCAUGCUGAAGAUGAAGAUGGAUCAGGGUCUGAAUCAGGAGAGUUUGCGUCUCUAUCGGUUUCGGUUUCAACAUCGCCUGAACUUUCACUGCUGUCACUAUCUAGAAUCCUCGCUCUCGCCUGUGUAACUGUGUAUGUUUUUUUGUUUUUUUUUACUGUUUUAGAUGUACCUGUGUUCACUGUAGGUGUAAUUUUAGCUGGAACACGAUUAGCUUGUCGCUUUGGCAUUUUUAGUUCACUUCUAGUAGUACACUAAUAUUCACGCUUGGAUCUUCAUCAUAAUGCCGGCGUAAAAACGAAAUCACGUCGUGACGUCAUCAACCUUCCGGGUCAAAAAAUAAUAAUUAAAUAAGUAAGGAAUCAUAGCAGAGUAAUGCCGGUACACCGGCCUUACGGGGAUAACGUUUACACUGUAAAUCCUCUAUAUCGGCCUUACGGGGAUUUGGCAUAGACGACCAAGCCGGUCUAUCAUCCUUACAGGAAUAGAUCAAAGACAGGCAAGCCGGUUUUUCGGCCACACGGGGUAAGAUGGUUAAAUAAAAAUCCUCAUGUUUGAAUGAAAAUCUCGCUGCUUGUGUUACUCGACCUUAGUGCAGCUUGAUACUUUUGAUACUAUAGAUCAUACUAUUCUCCUUGAUAGAUUAGAGAAUGUUAUUGACAUUAAGGGAAAAUUCCUCUCCUGUCUCAGGUCUUAUCUGACUGAUCGUUAUCAGUUCGUAGAUGUAAAUGGAGACUUCUCCACGCAUACUGAGGUUACCUUUGGAGUUCCACAGGGUUCUGUUUGUAGCCCCACUGCUUUUUAGUUUAUAUAUUCUACCUCUAGGUCUAAUUAUUCGCAAACAUGGAAUUAGCUUCCACUGUUAUGCUGAUGAUACACAGUUGUAUGUUUCAGCGAAGCCAGAGGACAGACAGAAGCUUAGUAAAGUUGAGGAUUGUGUAAAGGACAUUAGACGUUGGAUGUUAACUAACUUCCUUUUACUUAAUUCUGAUAAAACAGAAAUACUUUUAUUAGGAUCACGUGUAGCUAGAAGUAAUCUUUCUGAUCACAUGGUUACUCUGGAUGGUCUUUCUGUUUCAUCAUGUGCAGCAGUUAAAGACCUUGGAGUGAUUAUUGACUCCAGCCUAUCAUUUGACGCUCAUGUAGAUAAUAUUACUAGGAUAGCCUUCUUUCAUCUCAGAAAUAUUUCUAAAAUAAGAAACAUAUUGUCACUACAUGAUGCGGAAAUACUAGUUCAUGCAUUCGUCACGUCUAGAUUAGAUUACUGUAAUGCAUUACUGUCUGGAUGUUCCAGUAGGAAUAUAAAUAAGCUCCAGUUAGUCCAGAAUGCAGCUACUAGAGUCCUAACUAGAACCAGAAGAUACGACACAUCACCCCGAUCUUAUCCACACUGCAUUGGCUCCCAGUGAAAUCUCGCAUUAAUUAUAAAAUACUAUUAUUAACCUAUAAAGCACUAAACGGUCUCGCGCCACAAUAUGUAAGCGACCUUUUGGUUUUAUAUGAUCCGCCACGCCUACUUAGGUCAAAAGAUGCAGGCUAUUUGACGGUACCUCGAAUAGUGAAGGCUACAGCAGGGGGAAGAGCUAUCUAAGUACGAGCAUAACUGCUUUGCUACAACCUUUUCUCAAAUCUUAGAGAUGAAGGGGAGAUUUGAUAUUGGUCUAUAGCUGGACAAUUGAGACGGGUCAAGAUCAGGUUUUUUAAUCAAGGGUUUAAUAACUGCUAAUUUAAGUGAUUUAGGU